rnacentral:rRNA from 1 species
AGUGAACGCUGGCGGUAGGCCUAACACAUGCAAGUCGAACGGCAGCACAGUAAGCGCUUGCUCUUACGGGUGGCGAGUGGCGGACGGGUGAGGAAUACAUCGGAAUCUACUUUUUCGUGGGGGAUAACGUAGGGAAACUUACGCUAAUACCGCAUACGACCUACGGGUGAAAGCAGGGGAUCUUCGGACCUUGCGCGAUUGAAUGAGCCGAUGUCGGAUUAGCUAGUUGGCGGGGUAAAGGCCCACCAAGGCGACGAUCCGUAGCUGGUCUGAGAGGAUGAUCAGCCACACUGGAACUGAGACACGGUCCAGACUCCUACGGGAGGCAGCAGUGGGGAAUAUUGGACAAGGGGCGCAAGCCUGAUCCAGCCAUACCGCGUGGGUGAAGAAGGCCUUCGGGUUGUAAAGCCCUUUUGUUGGGAAAGAAAAGCAGCAGGUUAAUACCCCGCUGUUCGGACGGUACCCAAAGAAUAAGCACCGGCUAACUUCGU